UACGUAGGGGGCAAGCGUUGUCCGGAUUUAUUGGGCGUAAAGCGCGUGUAGGCGGCUCGGUAAGUCUGCUGUGAAAGUCCAGGCUCAACCCUGGGAUGCCGGUGGAUACUGUCGAGCUCGAGUCCGGAAGAGGCGAGUGGAAUUCCUGGUGGUAGCGGUGAAAUGCUUAGAUAUGACACAGAACACCGAUUGCGAACGGCAGCUCACUAAGUCAUAACGUGACGCUGAUGCACGAAAGCGUGGGGAGCAAACAGG
rnacentral:rRNA from 1 species